ACAAGGGGGAAUGGUUUUAUUUUGGGUAUAUUUAGUGGCUGGCAACCCUGCACAUAGCAGGGGGGUAUAAACUCAAUCAUCAUUGUGGUGCCUUUCAACCCCAGCCAUUCUUUGACUCUGAUUCUGUAUACUCAAUGUGUAAUACUGAGGAGCAGCCCUCUCCCCACUAUCUGCCACCCACAGCUUCCACGUACUGAGUGUUGCAAAAAUAGGUUUUCCAGUGGCAGUUUCCUGAUAUUGUCACGGGUUACCUAGAUUUACCUCUGCCCGUGGCAGGAUCAUCUGCCCCGUAGGGUCCCCGUCCCUGAAACAGGGGUGCAGGGCCUGCAGGGUGUCAGUACCCUUUGUGCCCUCUCUGUUCCUGUUGGGCAACAGGCUGUCUCCACUUGCAGGCAGCCAGACAGUUGCCAAGUAGAAGGCUCUCCUGGCCUGAUCCUGAGACUCAUCAGUACAAACGGAUUGGAGGCAUGGCAUGAAGAAGGGACUGGAGUCUGUGCACGGCCUUUUGCCCAAGGGCUGGCUACAAGUUCUCUCUAGCAAGCGCAGUGGCACAGCUCUACCCAGAAUAGGAUCCCUCAGUACCCCCUGUCCUUCCUUCUUUAAAACUGGGGCAUCUCACAGGCCAUAGGCCCCAACUGCCAUGUUUGGGUUGCCAUGGAACACUGUACACAGAUGAUGUCACUAGUGUUCCGAGCCCUUCAACGGCCAUACAGUUGGUGGACCAUAUAGAGGCAGGAGGCACAAGAAGUGCACUACACGUAAAAAUGCAUCUUCCUGUCCAUAAGAAGAUGAGGCUGAUGGAAGCUGAAGAAGCGGUGGAGCCCAUGGACAUUGAUGAACAUCAAAACGGAGAGCCCAUGGAGGUGGAUCCACCUCCAGAAGAACAACCAAUGGAAGUGGAUCCACCUCCAGAUGGGCCCAAAAGACAACGCCAGAGCAGCCUCUGCACCAUCCGAAACUGGCGUCGGAAGAUCCUGAAGGAGGCCAGGAGUGGGAGAACAUAGGAGUCCUGGCAGAAAGGUUGAAGUCCACCUCAGCUCCAAUGGACCUGACAACAUAAUGCAACAUGGUCUCUGAAGAGGAUGCUCCCAAACACCAUUAAUCUCUCUCGCCUACUCCUACGCCUUUCUUGGACUGGUUUUAUUUUUCUCAGUAGGAGACAGCAGCACUACAGGCUUGCAUAUCUAUAAUAUGUAAAUAAUUAUAUAAUAAUAUGUAAUAAUAUACAACGUGCAUUGUUAGAACAUACAACAAUAGAAUUUACUUUUAUAAAUUAAAUAUGUAUUUUAUAUUUAAAUUUAUAUUUGUUAUAUAGUUAA